rnacentral:tRNA from 1 species
GUAGAGGCAAAAAAGCCGCCUAAAGCGAUCGGCUGUUAACCGAUUGGUCGAAGGUUCGAGUCCUUCCACCGGCGCCA